GACGAACGCUGGCGGCGUGCCUAAUACAUGCAAGUAGAACGCAGUUGCGAACGGGUGAGUAACGCGUAGGUAACUGCCUCAUAGCGGGGGAUAACUAUUGGUAACGAUAGCUAAUACCGCAUACUGUGAGAUGGACCUGCGUUGUAUUAGCUAGUUGGUUAGGUAAAGGCUCACCAAGGCGACGAUACAUAGCCGACCUUAGAGGGGUAGCGGGCAACCUGGGACCUGGGACCCGCCCCGACUCCUAACGGGGGCAGGCAGAAGGGAUCUUCGGCCAUGGGCGGAAGUCUGAACGAGCAACGCCGCCGGAAGUGAGAAGGUUUUUCGGUUCGAAAGCUCUGUUGUUAAGGGAGCGGUAACUAACCAGAAAGGGACGGCUAACUACGUGCCAGCAGCCGCGGUAAUUC
rnacentral:rRNA from 1 species